GUGGAUGUGGUGUAUGGUGCACUGCUGCCUUCUAUAGUUGGAAUUGAUAUGAGUCGGUGUGGCAGCUCCCGGGGUUCGACUCCCCGCGUCCGCA